rnacentral:lncRNA from 1 species
UAAAUCUCAACUUACAAAAAUCAACGGCAUCAAACAUGUUCUUCUACAGAUUACCGUCUUUAAUUGAGCUCUGAAAAAAUUGUGUGCAGAUUACUUACAAUUUGAUCUUGAGUUAUUUCAACACCAUGAUGUUUCAAAGCUUAUAUCCACUACUUGAAUUUAAAAAUAAAAAUCUAGUGUGAUGUUCAAAACCAAAGAUUUUACUCUACACUAGUUAUUAUCAGCAGCACAUUGAUGUGAGUAUAUCUUGUCAAGACAGAAGACAUCAAAAAAAUCAAAGAAAUAUAAAAAUGUAAUUACAUGACAAAGUGAAAGAGUACAAGAUAUUUGUAAAUUGAACAUAUAAUUUAUGGUUUGGCCAAAGUUAUCGCGACUAGUCUCUCUUGUGUGUUAGUCAUGCCACUAUUUGCUAUACAGAUAUUUCACUGAUUGCAACGCAAUGUUAAAAAGGUUACUGGAAGAUUGUUGGCCAUCUAAAUAUAAACUUUAACCUGGUUUUAUCUAGACCAUUAGUUUGCAUUGCCUUGAACCCAACAAUCAAUGCGGUUCUGAGCGUGUUCUGUCUUACUCCAUUAAUAGCAUCAAUCCUUACUUGCAGAUGAACCUUUCCUGGACAAAUGGGCAUUUGAGCAACGAGAACGUUUUCUAAGUGAAUCGAAAUUGAAAAACAAAAAUCCAGGGAGAUAUUUAGGGCAUUGGUUUGCGUGUAUUCCUGCCCUUGCUCAGGUGCGGCACAAGCAAGCAAGUUCAUUGAUCGUGUUCGGGCAUAUACCCAAACAGCAUCAACCUUGUGGAUUAAGUUUUAUCAUGGCAAUGACUCUUGGAAGUCAAUAUCAGGCUUAAAAACCCAGGUCGUCAUGCUCAUCCAUGCUUUAGCAGAUUUUGUAACUUGUGGCAUCAUUGUAGCUCGUGUUUGUAGAUCGACAUUUAUCCUUGGUUGAUUGAGCUUGCAAUUAAAAUGAAACGGUAUACUUCUCAAACAAACAUGUUCU